CAUUGAUACUGCAAACACGUUUCACGAUUUUCAACCCAAAGCAUCCUUUCCCAAGAUUACUGUUGAAGAAUAUUAAGAUGGUUACAUACAUUCCAAACCCUAAAUUUGUUGUUCAUCCAAACAUCAGUCUGUGUGGCUUACAUGGUUGAAACAAGGAUCACGGUGGCUGGUGUUGGAGGGGAUCAAUCGCGGUUUGAUCCAAAUAUGAAGGGUGUCGCGAUUUGGUAGAAGCUCUUGGUGGCUUCGAAGUUUAUGAGAGGUGCGGUUGGGAUUUAAUCUGCGGCGGUGAUUCUGACUGAGAUCAUGAUGCAGAUCUGGAUGCAAGGAUAUUUUACUGUAGAAAAGGGAAAAGAAGAUACUUUUUAAGGGAUAUUGUGUUUCUGCCGGUGUCGGAGCUACUCCUUAACCCUCCAAAUCCCAGGCUGAUAAAAGAGAGACCUUGAAGGCGUCGUACAUUCAUUAUGUCUUUGAAACGAGUUUAACACAGGUUUUAUCUUUUUCGUGUAUUUGUUUUUGUUACAGAGAGAAACAAUUGUUUUGAAAUUGAUUAUUUUGUUAGUUUGUCCACAAAGUGUUUGUUGAAUUGUAUGAACCAAAGAUGAACUUCAAAUUACUAUGUUGUUUUUGGUGUGUUAGCUCACUGAUGUUUUGUUGAGUGACUAUAUUGGAGUUGCAGCAACCAAAAUUCUUCACUGCUGGGAGAUACUCUAUGAAGAGGUUUAGGAAAUCCCAGUGUCCUAUUGUUGAGAGACUGACAAACUCACUCAUAAUGCACAGGAGGAACAAUGAGAAGAAGCUCAUGUUGGUAUCAUCAAGCAUGCUAUGGAGAUUAUCAAUUUUCUCACUGAUCAGAACCCAAUUUAGGUCAUUGUUGAUGUUGUCGUCAACAGAUUGAAGAUAUCUCGGAUUUUGGAUGUACGAGUUGCAUUGAUGUUUAUUACAAAUUGUGGUGAUUCGAUGAAGAUGAUGCGCACUGUUGAAGAUGUGUAUGUUGUUAAGGAAUUGAUCGUGAUGGAGAUGAUUCUGUUUUGGUGAUCAAAGCUUGAGGCUAAGUUAUUUCUUGGCUGAAGGUGGAGGUCGCAGAUCGUUGUGGGAUCGGUGAUGUGCGAUUUAUAGGUUUGUGAAGUGAUGAGGUCAGAAUUGUUGCAUAUGAUUGUGCGAACGAUGAUGAUGAAGAUGUGAUGUUGUGAUGAUGAAGAUCGAUGUUGCGGAAUUGUUACACGUCCGUUAAGGGAUUGGAGAUGAUGAUUGUAUGAAGUGCUAAAGGAUUUGUUGUGAUAUUAUGAUUUGGUGAAGGUAAAUUGGAUGAAGGUUUUUAUAUGAAUUGGAGGAACCUUUAAAAUUAAUAUGGCAGCAUAACUUCAAUUUUACCUCCCCUUUCUUGGCACUGAUGCAGUUACUUAUAUAGGGAGAUGGAUUGAAAAUUUAUGUGUGAAAAGGGUGUGAAAUUCAUUUAGAAGCUGCACUAAAAUUUGUUGAAGUUUUCUGAGUUUUCAAAAGCUCCGCGUGAAGUCUUUGAUAACAUUUGUUACCAUUGAUUAAAUUUUCUGAAUUGUUGGGAUUGAAUUAGAUGAAUUGUGUAUGAUGUUUAUGCAAUGUGAAACUGCAUUUUAAAUUGGUUUAGUGUUAAUUUGGGUUUAGGGUUCUUUUACGAAGAUUGAAAAUUUUAUAACAAUGACUUUUAGUGUUAAUUUUGGUUCAUCUUUGUUUUAGGAAGAUUGAAAAUUUUAUAACAAUGGCAUUAAUUUUGGAUUAAUCCUCUUUUCGUUAAGUCUUCUUUCAUGAAGAUUGAAAAUUGAUUUUGGAAGUUUUAGCAUACUUAUUUAUACGUGAAGAAGAGGAAGGAUAUGGUUUGGCUUUUUUUUUUAAAUAAUAAAAGCUAUUGUAAAUAAUGAUAUCAAUGGUAAUGCUACUACAAUCAAAAUUAUAUUAAAUAA